GGGCCUGUAGUUUAAUGGUAAAACGCUACUUUCGCAUAGUAGAAAGUAUGGGUUCGAUUCCCAUCAGGUCCA
rnacentral:tRNA from 1 species